rnacentral:rRNA from 1 species
GAUGAACGCUGGCGGCGUGCCUAAUACAUGCAAGUCGAGCGAACAGACGAGGAGCUUGCUCCUCUGACGUUAGCGGCGGACGGGUGAGUAACACGUGGAUAACCUACCUAUAAGUCUGGGAUAACUUCGGGAAACCGGAGCUAAUACCGGAUAAUAUAUUGAACCGCAUGGUUCAAUAGUGAAAGACGGUUUUGCUGUCACUUAUAGAUGGAUCCGCGCCGCAUUAGCUAGUUGGUAAGGUAACGGCUUACCAAGGCAACGAUGCGUAGCCGACCUGAGAGGGUGAUCGGCCACACUGGAACUGAGACACGGUCCAGACUCCUACGAGAGGCAGCAGUAGGGAAUCUUCCGCAAUGGGCGAAAGCCUGACGGAGCAACGCCGCGUGAGUGAUGAAGGUCUUCGGAUCGUAAAACUCUGUUAUUAGGGAAGAACAAAUGUGUAAGUAACUAUGCACGUCUUGACUGUACCUAAUCAGAAAGCCACGGCUAACUACGUG